rnacentral:rRNA from 1 species
CCUCGAAAUAGCUUUAGGGCUAGCCUUGAGGUAAAGUCUAAUGGAGGUAAAGCACUGAUUGGACGCGGGUCCCCAAAAGGAUACCAACUUCUAUCAAACUCAGAAUGCCAUAUAGAUAUACUCAGGAGUCAGACUAUGUGAGAUAAGUUUCAUAGUCAAAAGGGAAAGAGCCCAGACCGACAGCUAAGGUCCCAAAGUGUGUGUUAAGUGGAAAAGGAUGUUAGGUUUCUAAGACAACUAGGAUGUUGGCUCAGAAGCAGCCACUCAUUUAAAGAGUGCGUAACAGCUCACUAGUCGAGAGGUCUAGCGCCGAAAAUGUCCGGGGCUAAAACACACCACCGAAGCUACGGAAUUACCUAUGGUAAUUGGUAGAGGAGCAUUCUGUAAGGAUGAAGCACAAUUGAAAGAGAGUGUGGACGAAACAGAAGAGAGAAUGCCGGAAUGAGUAGCGAGAUAUAUGUGAGAAUCAUAUAGGUCGAAUGUCUAAGGUUUCCUGGGUAAAGCUGAUCUGCUCAGGGUAAGUCGGGACCUAAGGUGAGGGCGAGAGCCGUAAUCGAUGGACAACAGGUAGAAAUUCCUGUACUACGUAUAAUCAGAACUGUGGGGACGCAGGAGGAUAGGAAAACCGGAGAAUGGAAAAAUCCGGCUAAGUACAAAGGUGUGAGUGAUAGGCAAAUCCGUCACUAUUAGCUGAAGUACGAAUGGGAGCGAAGAAAAGUAGCGAAGUUUCUGAAUCCACACUGUCAAGAAAAGCCGCUAUUGCGUUAUACGUACCCGUACCGCAAACCGACACAGGUAGACGAGGAGAAAAUCCACAGACCGACGGGAGAAGUGUUGUUAAGGAACUCGGCAAAAUGACCCCGUAACUUAGGGAUAAGGGGAGCCAACGCAAGUUGGUCACAGAAAAGAGGCUCAAGCGACUGUUUAGCAAAAACAUAGGUCUAUGCGAAACCGUAAGGUGAUGUAUAUGGGCUGACACCUGCCCGGUGCUGGAAGGUCAAAAGGAGAGGUUAGCGCAAGCGAAGCCUUGAAUUCAAGCCCCAGUAAACGGCGGCCGUAACUAUAACGGUCCUAAGGUAGCGAAAUUCCUUGUCAGGUAAGUUCUGACCCGCACGAAAGGUGUAACGAUUUGAGCACUGUCUCGACAACACGCCCGGUGAAAUUGAAGAACCAGUGAAGAUACUGGUUACCCGCAACAGGACGGAAAGACCCCAUGGAGCUUUACUGCAGCUUAAUAUUGGGAUUCGGUAUUGUAUGUACAGGAUAGGAGGGAGACUAAGAAGCUAGCACGCCAGUGUUGGUGGAGUCGAUGGUGGGAUACCUCUCUUAUAAUACUGAAUUUCUAACCUACUUCCGUGAUCCGGAAGAGGGACAUUGUUAGGCGGGCAGUUUGACUGGGGCGGUCGCCUCCGAAAGAGUAACGGAGGCGCUCAAAGGUCUUCUCAGAAUGAUUGGAAACCAUUCAAAGAGUGUAAAGGCAAAAGAAGGCUUGACUGCGAGAGUGACAACUCGAGCAGGUACGAAAGUAGGACUUAGUGAUCCGGUGGUAACAAGUGGGAGUGCCAUCGCUUAACGGAUAAAAGCUACCCUGGGGAUAACAGGCUUAUCUCCCCCAAGAGUUCACAUCGACGGGGAGGUUUGGCACCUCGAUGUCGGCUCAUCGCAUCCUGGAGCUGAAGUCGGUUCCAAGGGUUGGGCUGUUCGCCCAUUAAAGCGGUACGCGAGCUGGGUUCAGAACGUCGUGAGACAGUUCGGUCCCUAUCCGUUGUGGGCGUAGGAAAUUUGAUAGGAGCUGUCCUUAGUACGAGAGGACCGGGAUGGACGAACCUCUGGUGAAUCUGUUGGUAACCAAUGCCACAGCAGAAUAGCCAAGUUUGGAACGGAUAAACGCUGAAGGCAUCUAAGCGUGAAGCCAACCUAAAGACUAGAUUUCCCAUGCGAAAGCAGUAAGACUCCUUGU